UCCCAUAUUGUCUAGUGGUUAGGAUACCUGGCUCUCACCCAAUAGGCCAGGGUUCAAUUCCCGGGAUGAGAA
rnacentral:tRNA from 1 species